rnacentral:misc_RNA from 1 species
CUUCCUGUCAGGAGUCUUUUAAAAGAAAAAAUGAGCGAUAAUUUGCAAUCAGAUGAUAUUCAAGAAGCUGAUCUUGGUCUUGGCGAUGGACUCAAACCAGGAGGACUCACAAUUUUAUCAAAUGAACCUCACAACCAUUCUGAAGACCGUUUGUUGUCAAAAGUGUCAAAUAAUUCGGAUAGGAACAGUCACUCAGGCUGCAGUUGUUCAGAGGAUUCCGAGGAAGAAUUUGAGCUCUCAUUAAUGCCUAUACAACAAAUACAUGAUCUCAAAACACAGUAUUCUCACUUAGUGCCAAAAUCUAGUCGUUGCAGUGAAACUUUUAGUGGAAAGGAUGAAGAAAUUCUGAUCUAUGAUGAAAGAUAUUUUUGCGAGAAACCAAAAACUUUGAAUUGUCAGGACCAAGGCUCUGAAAAAGAAAGCAAAGUGGAGGAAAAGGGCUCUGACUUUCCAUCAUAUGCAGAUGUAACAUAUGGGACAUCUAUUCGGCAACAGAAAGAAUUGUUUAAUCGAAACAUUGAAGAAAUAAGAAAAAAGAUGAAUGUCUCAAUACCAAAUUCAAAUAUGUCUCCAGAGCAAGAUAAAAUGAAAGCUGAAAAUCACAAAUCCAGAAAGAAAAGAACAUGUGAGGAAAUUGCCAUGAAGUUAGCUGAAACCUUGCAGGAGGUGGAAGACUUGAAAAUAGAGCUGGAGACAUGUGAACAAAGGCUUGAUUCAAAAUACAAGGCCAUCAAUAUUCUUAGAAAACAGGCAGAAGAAGCACAAAAACAACUGAAGUUUACAGAGAUGUCUUCAAAAGAAACGACUUUAAAAUUGUCCCAGGUGAAUGUAGCUGGUGGUGGUAAUAGUGAUAGAGUGACCUCCCUUGUUGUCCAACCAGACCAGGAUCUCGGUGACUUGUCCACACAACUGCUAAAGCAGAGACGGCACACAGACAGAGAGAAAGACGAUUCUAAACCCAAAACUGUUCCCAUAGAGAAAUAUACAAGAAUGUGCCAAGAAAACAAGUCCCUGAUGAAGACGUUAGAGUUGAAGAUGGAAGACCUACGAAAAGUUACAGCUCAGAAGAUGGCUGUGGACAGAGAGAAUGAUGAGCUGCUCGCAUUGUUAGAUAUACAGGAGAGAGCUAAAUAUGAGAAGACAAGAAGUGUUUCCUCGGAGGAAAAUUACUGUUCGUUCUCCAGUACUGAGCUUGCUGUACUUGGAGCAUGUAGAUGUAGAAUUUCUAGUCCCGAGCCAUGUGGCUGUGCCCACGCUGCUGCGAAUCUCAAAAAGGAAAUUGUCAAAAUGAAAGAAGAGCUACAUCUUUACAAGAGUCGUAGAGAUGAGGCGUACCAUACUGUAGAUGCAUAUAGGAAAGCCUUUGAAGAACAGUUACAGCGUAAUAAAUCCCUCACCCUCCAACUGGCAAAUAUCAGUACAGGCAGGAGCAACACAGGGAACCUUACAGGAACAUCUAAGGCCAAACUAGCUCUGAAGUGGUUAAUUGGAAGUUUAAAUGAUGAAGAUAUUCCAGAUGAUGCAUCAAGCAUGGUGCCAGGGCCUGCCAUGUCAGAAUAUGAACUUACCACCUACCUCACAGAAAUGUCCGUAGGUUGUUACAAAUUACACCCUGAUUGGAAAGAAUAAUGAAAAGUUGAGGAGUAUUUGUAAUUAUUGGUCAAUAGAAUAGUCAGCAUAGGAAGGAAAUACAGAGGUUUUGUUACUGAACUCAGUGUUAUGAUCUUAGCUUGUGUAUGGUGUCACUUCAUUAUGACAUCACAUUCUCAAUGAUAUCACUACAAAAUCAUAGCUGAUUGAAUGAGAAAAAGGAGGUAUUAGCCCACCAAAAACUUGCCUCUCAGAUCCUGGCUGACAGGGUGAAGGUACUGGAGGAUAAAUUGUCUCGCUAUGAAAAAGAUGACUCAGAAGUUUUC